AACAAGGCGUACCUGCGGACCUGCGGAAGGAUCAUUAAAAAAUUCUCGGUGGCGCCAGCCGGCUACGGCCCGCGGCCCCCGCUGGAAGCGCCCGGAGGCGUCUGACAGCACAACCCCUUGUGAAAACCCCCCCGUUGCUUCGGCAGCCCCUCCCAGGAGCGGUAAGCCUGCCGUCAGCGUCACGGAAACUCAAUAUGAAAACUUGCACCCCCGUCUGAACGGCAAAGUCGAAUGACUACA
rnacentral:misc_RNA from 1 species